GGGCAUUUAAACAAAUACAAGGAGGAAACUCUUGCACAAAUUAAACCAACAUCACAGGUUUAAGAAAGCUUCAUUAGUAGGAAAAAAUGCCCCACUGAGAAUUUUAAAUGUCCAUGUGAUGCUUUUAGGGGAUAGCUCUGAAUUCUAGCCUUUAAUCCUCAGACACUGUUGAUCUUGCUCCCGAUGACGGAAAUGUUCACUGCAGUUUCACUGCUGAACACGCAACGGGAUUCAGACCUGUUCAGUAAGAAAAUUCUGUUUAUUGAGCCCUAAAUGCAUGCCAGGCACUGUGCUGUGCAUCGUGAGACAGCAGCGAGCAGUGCAGACACACUUUCCUUUGAAACUUAACGUUUUUCAAAAUGGUAGACAUGAAUCCAGUAGUCAGAUACAUGCAUGCGCCUGCACACACACACACACACACACAUUUAGAAAUGGCCUAGAGGCUGAGAGAGCACAGGUAACUGAGAUCAGGCAGCAGAAGCAGCUCCCCUAUCUGGAGGGGACAGAAGUGGAAUCAGGGCUAAUAUCUGAGCAAGACAGAGGGGCUGCGGCUCUCUGAGUGGGAUGCAGUGGGGGGUGGCACGGGAUGAACCAGGACAAGCAGCCUACCCAGCCCCAGUGAGCACACGGGGAGCCAUGUGUGGCCUGAAAUGAUUCCAGGAGCCACAGUGAAAAGGAAAACUACGUGAAGUUGGCGUAAACAGUACAUUCUAUUUAACCCAGUAGACAGUAGAUCCAAAUGUUAUCCCUACAACAGGUAGUCAGCAUUAAACCUCACAGGUGCGACGUGCUGUGCAUGUCAUAGAAUGCGUCCUAGCCUGGGGCCGGCAGUUCCCACUUGGAUGGCAUAGGUCCAAGCACAGAGAACAAGGACAUAGACUCUGAGACACAAGAAAUGAGUUCCAGGCAUAAUAAACCAUCGUAUUCAUUUUCUGGGACUGUCAUAACAAAAGACCACAGACUGGGCAGCUUAACCAAUGCAAAAGCAUUUUCUCACCGUCCUGGAGGCUGGAAGUCCAAGGUCAAAAUAUGGUCAGGGUUAGUUUCUCCUAAGGCUUCUCUCCUUGGCUUGUAGAGGGCGUCUUCUCCCUGUGUCCUCACAGGGUCAUCCCUCUGUGUGUGUCUGUGCCCCAAUCUCCUCUUCUCAUCAGGACCCCGGUCCUAUCAGAUGAAGGCCCACCUCAGCCACCUCAGUUUAACUUAAUUGCCUCUUUGAAGGAGCUAUGUCCAAAUACAGUCCCUUCUGAGGUCCUGGGGGUUAGGGGCUCAACAUGGGAAUUUGGGGGGACACCAUUCAGCCCAUAAUAGCAGAGGGUUGGGUCACCCGCGCCCAGAAGGAAAGGUGCACAGCAAGGGGUUGAGGGGCAGGUGGGGCAAAUCUGCCUAGUGUCAUCAGAGUGCCGGGCACAGGGAUAGAUGUGCGUUUUGAUGAGACCCGCAGUGGCCCCUGGAGAAAGCACUGUCAAGGUGCAAGAGUAGGGAGGAGGACCGGUGAGACCCGGCCGAGCCAGAUGACAGUGUGCGUGCAGGCUGGGGAGGGGGCAAUAGGAAGGGCCGGCCCAGAGGGAUUGGAUUGUGGAAGACAUCCAGGCAGUGUGGUCAGCGGGCCUCGGACUUCCGUGACGUGGGCUGUGCAAAGUAGGGCAGUGCUCCACUGAGCAUGGGGACAAGAAAGAGCAAGGAGGAGAGCAGGGGCUGCCUUCCUCUUCCUCCCUUCUGCCUUUCUCUCCUUCCAGUUAUUUUUCGCCAGCCCUCAAGAACCCCUUGCACUGUAGAAGGACUGGCACCAAGUAACCACCUCUGGAAUUCUGAUGCCUGUCAUUGCAUCUUACAAUAUUCGGAGCUCCACGGCUCUCUUCUCGGGACCCCACACUCGCCACCCUGUCUGACCAAAUGCAGAGUUUUUAUUUCUUAACGCAAAAGCUUUGGGUCAGCAAUUCUACACCCACACACGACAACUUGUAUUUAAUAUCCGGAAGCAGAUAUGUCAUAAGUUGCUAACAUCCAAAACGGCUUGUUCACAUUUAAUUAGGUAUCAAAACAAGGCUUUUUCUGUUACUGUGGCUCGUGCAAGAAAAUAUCAUUAAACUUCAGCUGAGCACGUGCUCCUACAAGCUGAGAAAAAGAAGCUGCACAGCCCUGUGGCAUUAGCUGCAAAUUCGCAAUGGAAAUUAAUCUCUCAUUUCAUUUGGCUUUUUUAUAGUGGCUUUUGACCAAGAAUAGCUAUCACCUUAAUGUGCAAUGCUUUGUUUUCUUCCCAUAGCAAUUUCUUGAUGUUAGCAAAGACUGGUGAGCAGUCUUGGCAAAACAAAAAAAACAAAUAAACAAAAAA
ensembl:lncRNA